CUGAGGAUCCUGCACUUAGUAUCAUGAAGCAUGAGCGGGGUUGUUGGCGCAACAGAGUCAGUAUUGCUGUGAAAGACUGAAUUGUAUUCUUUUCCACCUUCUGCUACGUUAAAAAAAAUUGCUUGAAGAUGCUUUUCCAAUAAUUUCUAAGAGCUAAAGGACUUUAUUAAGAACCAUGCAGGCAUUGAUCCAGAUGUUAAACCUCUCUGUACAAUGGGAAGCCCUCUUGGAAAGCAGUAAAGAAUAAUUGGUUCAUUGUUAUCUAGUCUUGAGAAAAGAGAACAGUGUUGUCUAUUUAUUUGA